rnacentral:lncRNA from 1 species
AUUACAGGGUUGUAUUUUGCCGCAGAGGCUCUCCUCAUCUGGAGAUGGUUGGAAGCAAGAGCCAAGAGUAAUGGUCUCUCCCCUCUCGGAGUUAAUUGCAGUGCCUCGGCGCUUGGAAAUAAAAAUAAAGUUUUUUGAUAAUGAAUAUGUUGUCGUGUUUGUAUUUCUUUUGUUUCCCGAUCGUGUUUUAUUUGAUGCGACGGUGAAAAGAAAUAAAGAUAUCCUUGUUUGAUUCACUCUAUUGAACUAAAAAUUUGGUUUUUCAGCCACACAAAACAAUUGGCAAUCAACCUCAAAGUUGAGUAGAGAUAAGG